rnacentral:rRNA from 1 species
UACGUAGGGUGCAAGCGUUGCCCGGAAUUAUUGGGCGUAAAGCGCGUGUAGGCGGCGUGACAAGUCGGGUGUGAAAGCCCUCAGCUCAACUGAGGAAGUGCGCCCGAAACUGUCGUGCUUGAGUGCCGGAGAGGGUGGCGGAAUUCCCCAAGUAGAGGUGAAAUUCGUAGAUAUGGGGAGGAACACCGGUGGCGAAGGCGGCCACCUGGACGGUUACUGACGCUGAGACGCGAAAGCGUGGGGAGCAAACAGG